GUGGGGAAUAUUGGACAAUGGGGGCAACCCUGAUCCAGACAUGCCGCGUGAAUGAUGAAGGCCUUCGGGUUGUAAAGUUCUUUUGGAGGGGACGAUGAUGACGGUACCCUCAGAAUAAGCUCCGGCUAACUUCGUGCCAGCAGCCGCGGUAAUACGAAGGGAGCUAGCGUUGUUCGGAAUUACUGGGCGUAAAGGGCGCGUAGGCGGUUUGGUUAGUCAGAUGUGAAAGCCCAGGGCUUAACCCUGGAACUGCGUUUGAUACUGCCAAGCUUGAAUGCGGGAGAGGUGAGUGGAAUUCCCAGUGUAGAGGUGAAAUUCGUAGAUAUUGGGAAGAACACCGGUGGCGAAGGCGGCUCACUGGACCGACAUUGACGCUGAGGCGCGAAAGCGUGGGGAGCAAACAGGAUUAGAAACCCGUGUAGUCC
rnacentral:rRNA from 1 species